UUUAUUGAGAGUUUGAUCCUGGCUCAGGAUGAACGCUGGCGGCGUGCCUUAGGCAUGCAAAUCAAGGGGGGUCCCGAUUUAUCGGGAUCAACCGGUGGACGGGUGAGUAACGAGUGAGAAUCUACCUUAAAGAGGGGCAUAGCUUGUCGAAAGACGAGGUAAUUUCCCAUGUGAUCGCAAGAUUAAAGCCGCAAGGCGCUUUAAGAUGAGCNNNNNNCCUAUCAGCUUGUUGGUGGGGUAAUGGCCUACCAAGGCAACGACGGGUAGCUGGUCUGAGAGGAUGGUCAGCCACAAUGGGACUGAGACACGGCCCAUACAUCUACGGAU
rnacentral:ncRNA from 1 species